ensembl:lncRNA
CUUUUUUCUUUCUUUCUUUCUUUCUUUUUUUUUUUUUUUUUUUUGUGGAUCGUCUCAUUCUGUUUGUGACACUGUAUGCUACAAAACCAUGCCGUUUUUUACUACCAAGACGCAGUUUCUGAGCGUGAGUUAUUCCAUAACGGACACAAACAAUUCUGUCCCUGAAGAACUGAAACGUAAACAAAGGAAUUAUCAUCCAUAUUACAACGUUAUUGUUUCGUUGAACUAAACGUGCUCCAUGAGAUGUCGUUCAGUGGACCCUUACCUUUCUAACUAAACCGGGAUUUACAGCUGUGGAUGUGUUUAUCACUCGUUAUUUCGACGAAUCUGUGUGGGCAGGUUGGGCUGGUCAGCAGAAGGAAGCAUGAAGUGCUCCAAAAUUUCUUGGUAAAUGGGUGCAGGGACUUUGGUUUUCAAAAAACACAAUGGACCAACACCAGCAGAUGACAUUGCACCCCAAAUCAUCCCAGACUGUGGAAACUUAACACUGGACUUCAACCAACUUGGCUAUGAGCUUCUCCACCCUUCCUCCAGAUUCUAGGACCUUGGUUUCCAAAUGAAAUACAAAACUUGCUCUCAUCUGAAAAGAGAACUUUGGACCACUGGGCAACAGUCCAGUUCUUCUUCUCCUUAGCCCAGGUUAACUUGGACGGCUCACAUGUGAAGUUGUGAAGGAGGUCAAGAUGACGGAAAUCAACAAUGUCAGAUCAUCUUGAGAAUCCGGUAGAGUCAGACCAACUGCAGAACGAGUCCUCGCCAGUUCUCUCAGCCACCCUCCCUUUCCUCGUUCUCAUUUCAUUGCCAGGUAGCUCAUGGCACGGCAUGAUGCUGUGUAAGCUCCAUCUGUUUGGCGCGCGGCUGGUGACAAACUGCGAGAGAGGAGGCCUAGUCAGUCGCUGUGGAUUGCAUUGCGGUGGAACCAAUCGGCACCUUCCCACAUGGCCCAAAGAGAAAGCCCCCCGGGAAACCCUUCAACACGGCCAGCCUACAACCCAGCACACAAUUUGUGCUCCACCAAAUAUGAAGCCAACUUUCUACCAACCCUGACUUCACCCUUGAUCAGUACAAAACAAAAAAUGAGGGCAGCAGAAAAUGAAAUAAAAAUGAAGGAUUUGAGAGAUCAAAGCGUUAAAAGAGUAGUUCAGCCAAAAAUAAUAAUAAAAAAAAGUCUGGUAUUAUUUACUCAUGUUGUCCCAAAUUCAACUGCUGUUAUUCAUUUAUUUAUUUAUGGAACAUACACAUAUAUAUAUUAUUUUGACAAAAUUAAUAGAAGGACUCCUAUCACAGAAAGAUACAAAACAAAUUUUUGAACAUUUAUGUUUUUGGUUCCUCGCUGGUUUAACAACCUUCCCAUCCUUAUCCAGGCAGCCGAAUCCCUCACAAUAUUCAAGAAAUGACUAAAAACUAAUCUUUUUACUGAGGGAACUUAAAUGCAUCCCACUGAUGUUUACUCUUUGUUGUACUCCUCAUUUGUUAGUCAGUUUAGAUAAAAGUGCC